AAAAUGGAUUCAAUGUUUGGGGGUUUGGGACUGAUUUCCAGUAAAUGCUUUAAUAAAGGGGUACUCUGGUCAUUUCAUAAAGCUUAAUAGCAAUUAGGGCUUUUUAUGGAAGUGUUUGGGAUAUCUUUUAGAGGGCAAAGGCACUUUUGGAAAAAAAAAAAAAUAAAGAGAAAAAAUGUUUAGUAAAAACUCCUUUUGGAUUUUUUUAGAAAGAAAACUAACUUUUUGGAAAAAGUCAAAAAAACCAGACUUUUUGGAAUUUUCCCAAAAGUUCUUUUCCCUCUGAAAAAUACCCCAAACACCCCCUAUGUCCCGUCUUCUGUUUUGAGGGAUCAAGGAACGAACGAAAGCAGAUAGAACGCGUCGGCAGAUGAACGAAGGCGGUAGGAAGGAGCUCAACGCAGGCGGCUAAUCCGACGCUUUGGUCGAUCGGUCGCGAGCAGGAGGCGUCUCCGGGGUCAACACGGCCGAAGAAACGAAGGGACGAAGCAGCGGGAUUUCGCUGAUUCUCGUCCAACUGUGAGGUGCGAAGGGAGUAGGAGGAUUGGUCCGGGGAGGCGUCGCGAGCAGCAACAUCAGCGAAGACGAGACCUUCGGAGGUCGUUGUUCGAUAGGAACAGAAGAGAGAGAGAGAGAUAGAGAGAGAGAGAGAGAGAGAGAGACCGCGAGGGGUGAGGCCAGAAGAGGUCCGAUAAGCAGCGACAUCGUCGCAGGUGGGGUUUCGGUGGGUUUUGCUUGACCGGAGAAGGUGUGGGGUGCGAUGGGAGAAACGAUCAGCGACAGCAGCUCCGGUGAGGGUGGUUUGGCAGCGAGGGUCGAUAGGAAGGAAGGAAAAGGGUCUCCAGUAAUCUCCUUGCACCCUCUUCUUAGUGAUUUGGCAGCCAAUUCGAAGAAAAAGAUAUAGGGAAGAUGUAGAGGCUGUUGACCUCUUGAUUGUUCUUGGCAGCAAUCGAAGGAGAAGAAGAGAAGAAACAACUUUUUAUUUUGUGUGUGAUGUUUGUUCUUGGCUGAUAACGAAGAAGCAGGCAGAAAAAGAAAAUUGGAGGUGUUUGGGUGUUGAUUUUUAUCAUUGUACAUUGUUUGAGUGUUGUCUUGAUUGAAGGAGUGCAAGAAAUCUUCAAUUUGUCAGCCAACUAAGGAGAAUUGCAAGCAAUGUUUUGUGUAGACUUGCAAGAAGUGAUUUUGUUUAAGUAUUCAUAUAUUUGUGUAAUGUAUUGAUUUAAUUAUUUAUGUAUUUGUGUGAAUGUAUUAUUGAGAAAUGAUAUUGGUUCAAUAUCUAUGUAACUUGUGUGUAUUGAUGUUAUGAAGUAUAUUUUUAAUAGAUUUAAUAUACACUUUUAGGUUUAA